rnacentral:sRNA from 1 species
AUAGAAAUUCUUGGCUGCUUUAUAUUGCUGUAGAAAAAACAAUUAAAUCUUAUUUUAAACUUUUCGUUUCAGAAAACAGUACAGCUCAUAUUCGACAAUAUUCCUUGAUGACAGCACAGCCAGCCAGCCUUAUCUUACAAUGACAACAAUAUCGACGAGCCAGAGCGAGGCCAUGGCCCUGCAGUCGAUCCGAAACAUGCGUGGGAACUCCCACUGUGUGGACUGUGAGACCCAGAAUCCUAACUGGGCCAGUUUGAACUUGGGAGUCCUCAUGUGUAUUGAAUGCUCAGGGAUCCACCAGAAUCUUGGCACCCACCUUUCCCGAGUGCGAUCUCUGGACCUGGAUGACUGGCCAGUUCAGCUCAUGAAGGUUAUGUUAUCUAUUGGCAAUGACCUAGCCAACAGCAUCUGGGAAGGGAGCAGCCAGGGGCAGACAAAACCCUCAGUAGACCACAAAGGAAGAGAAGGAAUGGUAGAUCUGUGCCAAAUAUGAGCAGAAGCUCUUCCUGUCCCCACUACCCUGCACGGAGCUGUCCCUGGGCCAGCACCUGCUGUGGGUCACCACUAACGAGGACCUGCGGACAGCCAUCCUGCUGCUGGCACAUGGCUCCCGGGAGGAGGUGAACGAGACCUGUGGGGAGGGAGACGGCUGCACAGCGCUGCAUCUGGCCUGCCGCAAGGGGAAUGUGGUCCUGGCGCAGCUCCUGAUCUGGUACGGGGUGGACGUCAUGGCCUGAGAUGCCCACGGGAACACAGCGCUGGCCUACGCCCGGCAGGCCUCCAGCCAGGAGUGCAUCGAUGUGCUGCUGCAGUACGGCUGCUGCGAAGAGCACUUGUAGUAUCUGUUUAAUUUUAUUUGACUGCAGUCUCCUUGGUGCAAAAACAAAAUGGGAAAAAUAAAUGAGAAUAACUCAGAAAUUCAAAAGGAAAUCACAAAUUCAGUGAAUAAUACCAUUUUGAGUGCAUUUCGUAAACUAAGUAAAUACACAAAAUGUUGAUUUUUCCAACCGUAAGAUAUUUUAUGUCUUUUUGCCAAGGUGGAUGUGUUAGUCUCAGGCCCUCCUGGGCCACAUUGCCCAGGUCACACAGGCUUCUGUAUUAUGUAUUUAGAUAAGACAUGUGAAAAUAUAUUUGAAAAAAAGUUC